AUGCAUCUCUGACAGACCUGCUGCUGUUAAUGUCUGCUGCUAAGGUUUCCAAUACAGAUGCAAGAAAAAAGGUCCUCACAUUUUCUGUUUAUCUAGUGGUGGCAGCCAAGAUUGAACGGGAGAAUACAGGA
ensembl:snoRNA